rnacentral:tRNA from 1 species
GCCUUCGUGGUGUAACGGUAGCACACUCGGCGCGUAUUCGAAAGGUUCAGGUUCGAGUCCUGGCGAUAGCA